GACCGCGUGAGGGAGGAAGGCUCUUGGGUUGUAAACCUCUUUUAUCAGGGAAGAAGAUCUGACGGUACCUGAUGAAUCAGCAUCGGCUAACUCCGUGCCAGCAGCCGCGGUAAUACGGAGGAUGCAAGCGUUAUCCGGAUUUAUUGGGCGUAAAGCGUCCGCAGGUGGUUUUUCAAGUCUGCUGUUAAAGCGCAGAGCUUAACUCUGUAACGGCGGUGGAAACUGAGAGACUAGAGUAUGGUAGGGGUUGCGGGAAUUCCCAGUGUAGCGGUGAAAUGCGUAGAUAUUGGGAAGAACACCAGCGGCGAAAGCGCGCAACUGGGCCAUUACUGACACUCAUGGACGAAAGCUAGGGGAGCGAAAGGGAUUAGAUACCCCCUGUAGUCCUAGCUGUAAACGAUGGGUACUAGGUGUUGACCGUAUCGACCCGGUCAGUGCCGUAGCUAACGCGUUAAGUACCCCGCCUGGGGAGUAUGCACGCAAGUGUGAAACUCAAAGGAAUUGACGGGGGCCCGCACAAGCGGUGGAGUAUGUGGUUUAAUUCGAUGCAACGCGAAGAACCUUACCAGGGCUUGACAUGUCGCGAAUCUCGGUGAAAGUCGAGAGUGCCUUCGGGAGCGCGAACACAGGUGGUGCAUGGCUGUCGUCAGCUCGUGUCGUGAGAUGUUGGGUUAAGUCCCGCAACGAGCGCAACCCUCGUUUUUAGUUGCCAGCAUUUAGUUGGGCACUCUAGAGAGACUGCCGGUGACAAACCGGAGGAAGGUGGGGAUGACGUCAAGUCAGCAUGCCCCUUACGUCCUGGGCUACACACGUACUACAAUGCUUCGGACAAAGGGUUGCGAGCUAGCGAUAGCAAGCUAAUCCCGUAAACCGAGGCUCAGUUCAGAUUGCAGGCUGCAACUCGCCUGCAUGAAGGAGGAAUCGCUAGUAAUCCCAGGUCAGCAUACUGGGGUGAAUACGUUCCCGGGCCUUGUACACACCGCCCGU
rnacentral:rRNA from 1 species